rnacentral:rRNA from 1 species
GGUCAGGAUGAACGCUAGCGGCAGGCUUAACACAUGCAAGUCGAGGGGCAUCGGGAGUAGCAAUACUUGCCGGCGACCGGCGCAAGGGUGCGUAACGCGUGAGCAACAUGCCCGUAUCAGGGGGAUAAUCCAUGGAAACGUGGUCUAAUACCCCAUAGUAAUUAUGUAAGGCAUCUUAUAUAAUUUAAAGCUUUGGUGGAUACGGAUUGGCUCGCGUGACAUUAGCUGGAUGGUAAGGUAACGGCUUACCAUGGCUACGAUGUCUAGGGGUUCUGAGAGGAAGGUCCCCCACACUGGAACUGAGACACGGUCCAGACUCCUACGGGAGGCAGCAGUGAGGAAUAUUGGACAAUGGAUGGAAAUCUGAUCCAGCCAUGCCGCGUGCAGGAAGACGGCCCUAUGGGUUGUAAACUGCUUUUGUAUGGGAGCAAUAAGGGCUACGUGUAGUCCGAUGAGAGUACCAUACGAAUAAGCACCGGCUAACUCCGUGCCAGCCGCGGC